ACGUUUAAAUGACAAAGUUGCAUUCUUUAAACACUCCUCACUAUGAAACAUCAAACGAUUACAGUGGCUUAUUCGUUGGAAAUAUAUUCAGUGAGAUUCAAGAUGAAAUAAACAACUCUUGUAUUAUUCAAGACACAUCGAAAGAAGCCUCUAUAAAAUGUAACCAUAAAAAAAUAAAUACUAACAACAGUAAAUACAGCAGUUGUGAUAACACUAAUAACAGUUGCAAUGACACCGAUAACAACCACAACAAUGAUUACAUUUGUACUUAUAAUAAUGUAAACACAAAUUUAAGUAAGAAAGAAAUAUGUAGUAAUGUUAUAAAUAUAGAAGAGUAUGUAAAUUUCAUAAAAGCUAAACAUAAUGAAUAUAAGAAGAAAAAAAAGGACUAUAUUAUUGCAUACAUUAACCAGAGAAAAAUAAAAAAAUUUCAUUAUAAGGAUAUGGAUAAUUUAUUUAAGAGAUAUUUGUUAUUUUUAAAUUUUCAAGAAAAAUGUCUAUUUUGUAAUAAUUAUUUGUCAUUUUCUUUUUUAUAUUUUGAUAAAUAUUUGAGAAAAAAUAAGAAUAUAGAUACAUACGGAAAAAAUAAUAAAAAAUUAUUACAUUUUUGUGAAUGCUUAGAACAAGUUGAAUAUUCUAAACAAUAUAUAAACGAUAAAAAUGAUGAUGGUUAUAUUGAUAUGACUCAUCUUUUGAAAGAAAACAUAAUUUUCCCAAUGGAUAUCCCCUCCAAAAAAGGUAUUAUUAGAAGAGAGUUUAUGAAGAAUAUAAAAUAUACUGAGUUUUUCAAGUAUAAUUAUACCAGCAAAAAAAUUUAUAAAGCAGUUCCUAUUAAAAAAAUUGACAAUAUAGACACAACAUAUAUAAACAAAUUUAAAUAUAUUGAGAAACCUCAAUUAACUAUUGAACAUGUUAAAAGGUUGAAUAGUAACACAGAAAUUUUCACUCCGCUUUUUAAAAUUCAAAACGUUUGCACGCUCUUAACGACAGUUGAAAAAAAAUUAUUAAUUGCAUGUUUAAAAGUAGUUAAUAAGAUUGUGAUUAAUGAGAAAAUUGAUAAAUUAACCGUAAUAAUUUUUUGCUAUUUAAGUAAUUUAUAUAACGUUGUAAUGAGGUUAAAUGCAGAAUGCAUUUUAAGUUGCUACUCCCAGACACAUUUGGAAUAUUUUCUAUAUGUAAG
rnacentral:lncRNA from 1 species